rnacentral:rRNA from 1 species
CUACGGGCUGCAGCAGUGAGGACUAUUGCACAGUGGGGGGAACCCUGAUGCAGCAACGCCGCGUGGAGGAUGACGCAUUUCGGUGUGUAAACUCCUUUUAUAUGUCAAGAAAAUGACGGUAGCAUAUGAAUAAGCACCGGCUAACUCCGUGCCAGCAGCCGCGGUAAUACGGAGGGUGCAAGCAUUACUCGGAAUCACUGGGCGUAAAGGACGCGUAGGCGGGUUGGAAAGUCAGGUGUGAAAUCCUACAGCUUAACUGUAGAACUGCACUUGAAACUUCUAAUCUAGAGUAUGGGAGGGGGAGAUGGAAUUAGUGGUGUAGGGGUAAAAUCCGUAGAUAUCACUAGGAAUACCUAAAGCGAAGGCGAUCUCCUGGAACAUUACUGACGCUAAGGCGUGAAAGCGUGGGGAGCAAACAGGAUUAGAUACCCCGGUAGUC